AGCUGGCGGCGUGCCUAAUACAUGCUCUUCGAGCGGAUCGAUGGGAGCUUGCUCCCUGAGAUCACCGGCGGACGGGUGAGUAACACGUGGGUAACCUGCCUGUAAGACUGGGAUAACUCCGGGAAACCGGGGCUAAUACCGGAUAACACCUACCCCCGCAUGGGGGAAGGUUGAAAGGUGGCUUCGGCUAUCACUUCCAGAUGGACCCGCGGCGCAUUAUCUAGUUGGUGAGGUAAUGGCUCACCAAGGCGACCAUGCGUACCCCACCUGAAAGGGUGAUCGGCCACACUGGGACUGAAACACGGCCCAAACUCCUACGGGAGGCAGCAGUAGGGAAUCUUCCGCAAUGGACGAAAGUCUGACGGAGCAACGCCGCGUGAGUGAAGAAGGUUUUCGGAUCGUAAAUCUCUGUUGUUAGGGAAGAACAAGUGCCGUUCGAAUAGGGCGGCGCCUUGACGGUACCUAACCAGAAAGUCACGGCUAACUACGUGCCAGCAGCCGCGGUAAUACGUAGGUGGCAAGCGUUGUCCGGAAUUAUUGGGCGUAAAGCGCGCGCAGGUGGUUUCUUAAGUCUGAUGUGAAAGCCCACGGCUCACCCGUGGAUGGUCAUUGAGACUGGGGAACUUGAGUGCAGAUGAGGAAAGUGGAAUUCCACGUGUAGCGGUGAAAUGCGUAGAUAUUGGGAGGAACACCAGUGGCGAACGCGACUUUCUGGUCUGUAACUGACCUGAAGCGCGAAAGCGUGGGGAGCAAACAGGAUUAAAUACCCUGUUAGUCCCCGCCGUAACGAUGAGUGCUAAGUGUUAGAGGUUCCGCAGUUAUUGCUGCUCUAACGCAUAAGCACUCCGCUGGGGAGUACGGUCGCAGACUGAAACUCAAUGAAUU
rnacentral:rRNA from 1 species